CAUAAUAAUGGAGUAGCAGUAGCUUCACGCCAGGAGAAACUGGUGGGCAUGUCUCUCGGCCGCCGCCGGCCAAUCCCGCGCGUUUGCCCGAUGGCGACGUGAGGUCCCUUGCGCUUCCGCCAUCACCACAGCAACCCGUCCGCCGCGGCGCAGCAUUCUCUGGAUGCUUCACUCCGGGGAGGAGUCUCGGCUCGCCGGCUCCGGCCGCGCGUACUGUUUCUUCUCCGGCGGUCGCGGCAGCUGCCUGAUGCAGGUGCGCCUAGCUUCUGGUGACUUUUUCGAUUAGCUCUUGAGCGAGGGCCUCCUUGAAUAUAGGUGGGAUUUGAUACAUGUAUUCAGAUCUGAAGAGUAACCUGCUAAGUGCGACUGAUCUCAAAUUGAAGAUUGCUGAGCGAUGAUGCAACCUUGUUGAUUGGGACCUGGUACCUGGUACUGGUAGUCACAACCAUUUUGAGGGAAGUUAGAGACAGAAGAUUCCUGGACUUUGAUUGGAAACUCUGAAUCGGAAUAUUGCACUUUGUGUGAGUGAAAUACUACUUCUUUUCUGCGGAUUUC